rnacentral:rRNA from 1 species
UACGUAGGGGGCUAGCGUUGUCCGGAAUCAUUGGGCGUAAAGAGCGUGUAGGCGGCCCGGUAAGUCCGCUGUGAAAGUCGGGGGCUCAACCCUCGAAUGCCGGUGGAUACUGUCGGGCUAGAGUGCGGAAGAGGCGAGUGGAAUUCCUGGUGUAGCGGUGAAAUGCGCAGAUAUCGGGAGGAACACCAAUUGCGAAGGCAGCUUGCUGGGACGUUACUGACGCUGAGGCGCGAAAGCGUGGGGAGCAAACAGG